UACGUAGGGGGCAAGCGUUGUCCGGAUUUAUUGGGCGUAAAGAGCGUGUAGGCGGUUUGGUAGGUCCGCUGUGAAAACUCGAGGCUCAACCUCGAGACGCCGGUGGAAACCAUCAGACUAGAGUCCGGAAGAGGAGAGUGGAAUUCCCGGUGUAGCGGUGAAAUGCGCAGAUAUCGGGAGGAACACCAGUAGCGAAGGCGGCACUCUGGGCCGGAACUGACGCUGAGGAGCGAAAGCGUGGGGAGCGAACAGG
rnacentral:rRNA from 1 species